UCUGAUAUCACUGUGGUCUCCAACAAGGAGUUUGAGAAUAAAAUGAGCAGAUGGGGAAAAAUGCUACCAUUUCUAAUUCAAUCCAGUGGGCUGUUAAGCCAUAGGAAAGAUGUCCAACUACAAGCACAGAAAGUGCGUUUUGAGUUCACAAGACUUGGCACAGAAAAAGUGCCACAGACCAAAACUAGUGGCGAUUGUGGGGUAUAUGUCAUCAAACAUCUAGAGUACUUGCUAGCCAAAAAACCGCUAUCCGAAGUGAAUGACGACAACAUGGAUUUCUUUAGAAAAAAGACUUGUGUAGAUUUGUUUUACCAUAACUUACAACCAUAGUUGUCUUUUAUUUAAUUAUAUGUAUCUUACUUUUGAAUGUAUGAAGAAACUAUGUCAACUUCAUCUCAUUAAAUGGUAUUGAAUGACUUCGUUUA